rfam:Danio rerio chromosome 14, GRCz11 reference primary assembly.
GCUGGCAGCUAGCUCUCUGCAACUCUCACAUGGUCGCCAAUGAAGCUAAGCAGGGCUGUGCCCGGUCAGUACCUGUAUGGGAGACCACAUGGGAAAGCUAGGUUGCUGCCUGAA